rnacentral:lncRNA from 1 species
GUCAGCUGAGUGGAAAUGGAGGAGGAAAAGCUCCUGACUGAAAACUGAAGCAGCAAGUAUGCCCGUUACACUCGACAGGAGUUCAGAGGUCGAUUGAGCUAUGAUCUCCGUGCAGAGGGCGAAACCCGCAAACACUGCAAGAUGGAGGAACAUGGUUGCGUGUUCUAGCUUGAUGAGGUGGAAGGUGAAGUGUAAGCGAGGAAAGUCAAAGACUUGGUCAACGAGCGCGAGUAUCGAGAAGGACAGAAUGAGUAGUGGCUCGAGGUGUUUGAGCCUGGAGAAAGGAUUGUACAAUAAGGGGUACCAAAACUUGACUGU